GGUAUGGAUAUUUACUUUGCAAUAAUUUUCAUGACAUGAGACUACAUUUUGCUGCAAUUACAAGCGAUUUGAUCUGGUUUUGUUAUAAUUUCGUUUCAAUUUUAUGCGAAUAGGUACUGAGUUUAUAAAAGUAACAUAAUAUUGUCUUGUACUUAUAUAAUUAGUUUUUGUGUAUUUCGGAUUCCGUUUACAUCUAGGUACCUACUAUGUCGGGGUCCUACGAGAAAGCUGGCGUAUCAACGCCACGAAUAUUCAGGCGCCCGUAAAUCGUCAAAACGAGUGAAAAGCGCAUUCAGUUGGAUACAUGUGGACGACAAGAUAGUAAACCUGUAAAUUAUAACUCAAGUUGUGGCCAGCUUCAUUGUAAACAAACUUUAGUUUUCAAGUUCAAGGACAAAUGCGUGUCAGUAACAUGGAUAAAUGCUACUUCAUAUGUUUUAUUUCAGUCAAUGAACCUUUGACUGUUAUAGAAGUUUGUCGAGAUAAUAUAAUGACUUUAUCAGCAAUAUGAUGCCAAAGUUAAUACACUUUUUUAAAGAAUGUAUUCUGCCAGAAAUAGUUUUGAGACAUGUUCAAAAAAAUGCGAAAUGUAUACCUAGGUAUGAAAGCAGCUGUGUAGCGGUAGUUUCCAGGCAAUAAUGAGGAAGGAUGAGCGAAAACAACACGACAAAUGUUUUUUUAUUGUACUAUUAUAGUAGUGUGUUUAGAAUCUACAUUAUCAAUGUUUACAGUCAUGUUUUUUUUGAUGUCAGAAAACUGAAAUGGUGUACUCGUCGUAAUGAACAUAAUGUUCAUAAUGUGAUAUGAAUACAUUGACCUAUUUUAAGGUUUCUGAAAAACAAAAAGGAAAGUUGUUGCUUUUUUAUUUCCUUAUGUAGUAUAGUGAUUAUGGAUGCUUAGAUAUUCUCAAACAUUUUUCCGCUUUGAUUGCAAUCUAUUAUUCUGGUUGCCUUGUUUAUGAAUUAUAGUUUUGAAUUAUUAUUUUGAAUGAGAUUAUUUUUUAAUAAUCAGUCACGUAUCGAGCAUUCAUGUCACAUAAAUACUUGUAAUAAUUGCAGGUUAGUAUAUACAUUCUAUUAAAUAAUGUAUAAGAUAAUAAAAUAAAACUGUCUUACAUUGCA